AUAUUAAAAUUUCUGCUGUUAGGAACUUUAUGUUCCCAGCUGUGAUGUGUUAACAGCAUUUCCUUCAGAAGUCAGGCAGCUGGCCCCCACACUAACUACAAUGCUGUGCGAUGCUCCUGUGUCUGUCCUCCUGGCACCACAAUGCCUGUGUGCCAUGUUUGUCACCAGCAUGCUACAUGUGCUAUGUCCACUGCCUUUUGUCUCUCUAUUCUCUUUAUUGGGUAUUUUUUCCUUCCUUUUCUCAGGUGUCUCAGGUUUAAGUCACAGAAUCAUGACUUUAUGGAACAGAAAGGGGAACGACUUAGCCAACAGCAGCCCAGAGCAGGCAGCUGACUUAUGUCAGGCGAACAAGUUAGUGACAGAACAGAACUCACAACCUGCAUUUCUGUACUUUUUGGUACUCAAUCCACUAUGCUGCCUUUAAGGUAAAUUAAAAUACCAGCAUUUAAAAACUGUUUUAUGACAUCCAUUCAUAGAGAUGUGUAACCAUCACUGCAAUUCAUUUUAGAAUAUUUUCAUCACUCCAAGAAGAGACCCAGCACCCCUUAGCCGUCAACCACCAAGUCCCUUCCUCCAGCAGCCCCAGGCAGCCACUGAGCUACUUUCUGUUUCCACAGAUUUGCCUGUUCCGAACAUUUUAUAUAGAUGGGUUCAUAUGAUACGUGGCCUUUUCUAGCUGGCUUCUCUCACUCAGCAUCCUGUUUGCACAGUUCAGCCAUGUAGUGGUAGGUAACCAUGGCAUGUCAGAAAGAGAAGAAAAACUUGGUGGUCAUUUUGCCUCCAGUUCAGAAGACAAAACCAAGGCCUAGGGAGGUGGCUUCAGGCUCUAGUCACAAAGCCCAGCAGGGGAAGAGUGAGGAUCCAGCUAGACCCCUCACCACUCACCGCCCUCAGCAGACCUCCUGGUGCUUCCCUGACCUGCGUGCAAAGGUGCUCUGCUUGGUGAACUGGCAGAUUUACAUGCCUGCCCUCUAGUUUUUCUGUUCUCAGCUUUGCCCAGCUAUUUUUGUCACCGCUUGCGUGUCCUUGAAGGCAUUCUGGGUUACUUCUAGAUUUGUGAAUGGUUGAGGUGCCAGAUGUCUGAGGGUGGGUAAAUGGGGUCCCUGCUAUUUCAGUCCCUGCUGAAUAUAGACACAAAGGUACAGGACCAAUUUGUUUACAGUCUUUUUUUCCCCUAGGUUAGAAUGCAGUGGUGCAAUCAUAGCUCACUGCAGCCUUAAACCCCUGGGCUCAAACGAUCCUCCCACCUCAGCCUCCUGAAUAGGUGGAACUACAGGUGUGUGCCACCAUGCCUGGCUGAUUUUUAAAUUUUUUUUAGAGACGGGGUCUCACUAUGUUGCCCAGGCUGGUCUCAAACUCCUGGACUUAAGCCAUCCACCUGCCUCAGCCUCCCAAAGUGCUGAGAUUACAGUUGUGAGCCACUGUACCCAGCCUUGUUUACAAUCUUAAAACACCUAUAAGGUCUUUCUAUAUUACUCAUCGUAUUUUUACAUUAAAUAUCAAUGUUUAUAUAGCAAGAAAUGUAAACAAAAAAUAAAAUAUCAAUAAGUACUAAAUUUAAAGAAAUAAGGCACCAGAGUAGCACCUAGUUUUCAGAGACCUUUCACAUACAUUCUCUCAUUUAAUCCUCUUAACAAAUCUCAAGGCAGCUAAUGUUAUACACAUGAGGACGUGGAGGCUUAGGAAGGUGAAGUAAUUUGGUCCAGGCCUCACAAGUGGCAAAGGUCAGGAUGGCAGGGCUCCUCUGACUGGACACCCUAUGCUCUCCUCCCGCUAUUGCACCAGACUGCUGGACAUUCCUGGCCCAGUUCUCUGUUUUAAGCGAGUGUUCUCUAGGGACCAGCUGUGGGCCAGAAGGUCAGCACAGCACUCAGAGGACUCCUCCAAGUAAACCCAAUAUUCCCACUCGGCCCUCUGACCCCAGUCACGGCAGGGCUGUUCACGUCCUGACCUGGCUCCAUGGGACACUCCUCCACACCCCUCACAGCAUCCCACUGUACUCUCUCGACCUCGGUCUACCAACAGCAACAUGCCCUGGCCUUCAUACUUGUCUCUUUUUUUUUUUUUUUUUUGAGACCCUGUCUCAAGAUAAAUAAAUAAAUAAACAAACUAUCAUAUCAACACAGAAAGUUAUAAAGCAGCAUUCAAAAUCAUAUAUAUACUCUUGUAAUCAUGUAAAUAAUUUUUGUGAACAAAGGGAAGGAAAUGCAAAAUAAAAUUUAAAAUAUUGGCAUGAUGG
rnacentral:lncRNA from 10 species